GACGAACGCUGGCGGCGUGCUUAACACAUGCAAGUCGAACGGAAAGGCCCUGCUUUUGUGGGGUGCUCGAGUGGCGAACGGGUGAGUAACACAUGAGUAACCUGCCCUUGACUUUGGGAUAACUUCAGGAAACUGGUGCUAAUACCGGAUAUGAGCUCCUGCUGCAUGGUGGGGGUUGGAAAGUGUCGGCGGUGGGGGAUGUACUCGCGGCUUAUCAGCUUGGUGGUGGGGUAGUGGCUUACCAAGGCUUUGACGGGUAGACGGCCUGAGAGGGUGACCGGCCACAUUGGGACUGAGAGACGGCGCAGUCUCCUACGGGAGGCAGCAGUGGGGAAUAUUGCACAAUGGGCGGAAGACUGAUACAGCAACGUCGCGUGCGGGAUAACGGGCUUCGGGUUGUAAACCGCUUUCGCCUGUGACGAAGCGUGAGUGACGGUAAUGGGUAAAGAAGCACCGGCUAACUACGUG
rnacentral:rRNA from 1 species